UAAGCAUAUCAAUAAGCGGAGGAAAAGAAACCAACAGGGAUUGCCCUAGUAACGGCGAGUGAAGCGGCAACAGCUCAAAUUUGAAAUCUGGCCUUCUGGUCCGAAUUGUAAUUUGUAGAGGAUGCUUUUGGUUAGGUACCUUUCGAGUUCCUUGGAACAGGACGCCUUAGAGGGUGAGAGCCCCGUACGAUUGGAUACCGAGCCUCUGUAAAGCUCCUUCGACGAGUCGAGUAGUUUGGGAAUGCUGCUCUAAAUGGGAGGUAAAUUUCUUCUAAAGCUAAAUACCGGCCAGAGACCGAUAGCGCACAAGUAGAGUGAUCGAAAGAUGAAAAGCACUUUGAAAAGAGGGUUAAAUAGUACGUGAAAUUGUUGAAAGGGAAGGGCUUAUGACCAGACCUUUGCCUUGCGGAUCAUCCGGUGUUCUCACCGGUGCACUCCGCUUGGUUGAGGCCAGCAUCAGUUUUGGCGGCCGGAUAAAGACUUCAGGAAUGUGACUCCCCCGGGAGUGUUAUAGCCUGCUGUGUAAUACGGCCGCUGGGACUGAGGACCGCGCUUCGGCUAGGAUGCUGGCAUAAUGGUCAUCAGCCACCCGUCUUGAAACACGGACCAAGGAGUCGAACAUUUAUGCGAGUUUUUGGGUGUUAAACCCUCAAGCGUAAUGAAAGUGAACGGAGGUGAGAGCCCUUACGGGUGCAUCAUCGACCGAUCCUGAUGUCUUCGGAUGGAUUUGAGUAAGAGCAUAACUGUUCGGACCCGAAAGAUGGUGAACUAUGCGUGGAUAGGGUGAAGCCAGAGGAAACUCUGGUGGAGGCUCGCAGCGGUUCUGACGUGCAAAUCGAUCGUCAAAUCUGCGCAUGGGGGCGAAAGACUAAUCGAACCAUCUAGUAGCUGGUUACCGCCGA
rnacentral:rRNA from 1 species